GAUGAACGCUGGCGGCGUGCUUAAUACAUGCAAGUCGAGCGAACAGACGAGGAGCUUGCUCCUUCGACGUUAGCGGCGGACGGGUGAGUAACACGUAGGUAAUCUACCUAUAAGUCUGGGAUAACUUCGGGAAACCGGCGCUAAUACCGGAUAAUAUUUCGAACCGCAUGGUUCGAUAGUGAAAGAUGGCUUUGCUAUCACUUAUAGAUGGAUCUGCGCCGUAUUAGCUAGUUGGUAAGGUAACGGCUUUCCAAGGCAACGAUACGUAGCCGACCUGAGAGGGUGAUCGGCCGCACUGGAACUGAGACACGGUCCAGGCUCCUACGGGAGGCAGCAGUAGGGAAUCUGCCGCAGUGGGCGAAAGCCUGACGGAGCAACGCCGCGUGAGUGAUGAAAGUCUUCGGAUCGUAAAACUCUGUUAUUAGGGAAGAACAAACGUGUAAGUAACUGUGCACGUCUUGACGGUACCUAGUCAGAAAGCCACGGCUAACUACGUG
rnacentral:rRNA from 1 species